ensembl:lncRNA
AUCAAACACAGAGUGGCAGAUUAGUAGCAAACAUAUCCAAAUGAGGGACAAAUGGGAAUAUCCAAAUAAACAGGCAAAAGGCUGGGGGCUGGAAGCUUGAAGCCUAUCCCAGCAGACUAAGGGGACAAGGCAGGAGGGACACCCUGGAUGAGGGUUAAUGUAUUGAACUACGAUUCUGUCAGAUGAAGCAUCCUGGGUGGGCAAAAGUGACCAUGGUUUCUGUCACUUCCAUGUUGGACAUGGCAGAAGGGGUGAGGUGGAGCUGGUUUAUGGAUGUAUCACUUGGUGUUCACGCAGAGCCAAACAGAAGGCAGGCCAUGAGCUGUAAUAAGACCUGCCAAAGGUGGAGUUAGAUAAUGAGGAGCUUCAUGCCAGCCCUGUACAGAGAGCGGCAGGUGAGAAGCAAUUAGAGAG